UAGAUCUUAAAUUAUAAUUUUAGAUCUAAUUGAUCCUUUACUUAAUUCUUAAUUAAGUUCAGCAUCAAUAUGGAUUUAGGUUAUAGUUUGAAACAAUUUCAACCUUUUUAUUUUGUAAAUAAUUUAAAAUAAAUUUUAUUCAAAGAUUUUUUUUAAAAAAAUUGGAUCGACUCAAUUAAUAUUGAGCUAACUACACAAGGAGAUUGAGUCAACUCAAUUCAAAAUCAGGUCAGCUA
rnacentral:lncRNA from 1 species